AGGAUCCUGGGUAUGGGUAGUGGUAGAAUGUGGAGUGCCCUAUGGGUGUUUGGCUAAAUGCUGUCAGUGCCACCAGGCAACAGGAGUGUGGUCACUCAGUUUUAAAGAUGUACUUAAUGUGUUAGCCUAACGCGUGUAUUGACUAACGCAUGUAUAGGUUUUUUUCUUAGCAGAAGGGUCAGCUAGGACCAGGGCGUCAGGUUCCCUACAUGUGCAAGGGAAAGUCUACUGCUCUGAAAAUGACUGUGCUGUCCUUUAGGCAAAAUGAUGUGCACUGCCUGGAUCAUGCAGUAACCAAGAAAUGAAACUAUCUGGUCCUU
rnacentral:lncRNA from 1 species